rnacentral:rRNA from 1 species
UACAGAGGUCCCAAGCGUUGUUCGGAUUCACUGGGCGUAAAGCGUGCGUAGGCGGUUCGCUGUGUCCGAUGUGAAAGCCCCGGGCUUAACCUGGGAAUGGCAUUGGAAACUGGCGGGCUUGAGUGCGGCAGAGGGGGGUGGAAUUCCGCGUGUAGCAGGUGAAAUGCGUAGAGAUGCGGAAGAACACCAGUGGCGAAGGCGGCAUCACUGGCCCGGUAC